UACGUAGGGUGCGAGCGUUGUCCGGAAUUAUUGGGCGUAAAGAGCUCGUAGGCGGCUUGUCACGUCGGUUGUGAAAGCCCGGGGCUUAACCCCGGGUCUGCAGUCGAUACGGGCAGGCUAGAGUUCGGUAGGGGAGAGUCGGAAUUCCUGGUGUAGCGGUGGAAAUGACGCAGAUAUCAGGGAGGAAACACCGGGUGGCGAAGGCGGUCUGCUGGGGUGAGGCUGACACUGAUGCGCGACAGCGGUGGGGAGCAAACAGG
rnacentral:rRNA from 1 species